rnacentral:misc_RNA from 1 species
AAUAGACUUGAGGGCGAGGUA